CCUUGACAUACUAAGAACUUUCCAGAGAUGGAUUGGUGCCUUCGGGAACUUAGAUACAGGUGCUGCAUGGCUGUCGUCAGCUCGUGUCGUGAGAUGUUGGGUUAAGUCCCGCAACGAGCGCAACCCUUUUCCUUAUUUGCCAGCGGGUCAUGCCGGGAACUUUAAGGAUACUGCCAGUGACAAACUGGAGGAAGGCGGGGACGACGUCAAGUCAUCAUGGCCCUUACGGCCAGGGCUACACACGUGCUACAAUGGUCGGUACAAAGGGUUGCUACCUCGCGAGAGGAUGCUAAUCUCAAAAAGCCGAUCGUAGUCCGGAUCGCAGUCUGCAACUCGACUGCGUGAAGUCGGAAUCGCUAGUAAUCGCGGAUCAGAAUGCCCGCGGUCGAUACGUUCCGGCCUUGUACACACCGCCCGUCACACCAUGGGAGUUUGUUGCACCAGAAGUAGGUAGUCUAACCGCAAGGAGGACGCUUACCACGGUGUGGCCGAUGACUGGGGUGAAGUCGUAACAAGGUAAGCGUAGAUGA
rnacentral:rRNA from 1 species